AGGAAAGGGGGAAGCGAAUUGAUACCUUGACUUCCCUUUGGCAGGAAGUUCCUUUUAGCCCUGAAGAAUGUACACAGGGUGCCGCAACCUUUGUCCGAAGUAUCCUUUUCUUUAAGCCACCUUGGUGCCCUGAGCUGCUCCAGAUGAUCAACUCCCGGACAAGUAAGAGUGGCCGGAUGUACAGUCCUGGCGUGCUUCUCGGUAACUGGUUUGAAGAUGUGUGCUUAGAAGAGGAAUCAUUGAAAGAUUUUCUAUAUAAAAGAGAAAAUGGAGAACUAAUAAUCCAGAAAUCGCGAAGACUGAAAGAUACUCUUUACAAGAAGGAGCAACUUUCCAUUUCAAAAGAUGGAUAUAUUCAUUUCGGAGACACGGUUCUGUUUGCGAACCUCGACGUCAUUAGACUCCCAGAGGAAAAAGCUAUUAUUAUGGGUGGGAAUCUGUCCCUGGCUGUGAAUCCUGAUAUAUCGACUCUGUACACUGGUGAUAAUUUGACAGCUCCAUGUGACUUGAGUGCAAUCGAACACAUGAACCCCAUUGGGCGAAAUGUGUUUCGGAUUUUAAGCCUCGAAGGAGAAGCCAUGGGGGAACCUCUUAGAUACGGGCAGAAUUGUGGCCUAGGAGCAGCUGGUGGAUUUCAGGAUAAAAUGCUGUUUAUGUCUAGCGACCAUAAAUCAUUUCAGAAUAUGGCCAAGAAAUCUUCUCUCCAGCCUGUCUUCAUGACGGAUGAACUUUCAUACCUGUGUGCCUGGCAGUUUACCUUCCUGGAUCCACAGUUACGCAUGGAAUACGAAGGGUUGCCAAUCGCUGCAAACACGAAAGUUGUCGUCGUUCAUAGCCAUACAAAUCAGGCACUCGCAGUUCCCAGGACCUUCUGGAUAAGGACGUACUUUGGGAAAGAAUGUGAAAUCAACUGCCACACCUAUCUGGAUUCCCACAAAGCUGAAGAGAGCAAGAACCACUGGAUAAUAGUCACGGGGAAUCCUAGCGACGAUUCGACGACAAUGUUCAACAGGCCGAAGCCUCAGUCAGAGGAGACGAGGACACAGAAUAGAGAAUGUCUAUGAAAAAUCCUCGGAAUGAACAGUUAAACUUCCUGCUUUCGUGAAAGAAAAACAGGAGAAGAAGGAAAAACCCAGCAUGAUGGUGAUGAUGAUGAAGAAGAGGAGGAGGAGACUGAAGAAGGGAUUAAAGCAGGGAAACAAAGCAGUUUAGAAAGACAAAUGUCUGGAGGAGUUUUCCAGGACACAAUUCAUGGACAGAAGAACCCUAGCUACUUUUAUACUCAAGCCAAUCAUCUGCCUUGCUGUCAAAAAUAAAAGAGGAAGAGAUGUGGAACUCCCUGCCUCAGGAAAGCAGCUGGACCAUUCUCCUCUCAUUCCUUUCUGAGGAAGGCUUUCGUUCUACAGUAGGGCUCUCCAAACCUAGUAACAUUAAGACUUGUGGACUUCAACUCCUCAGCCAGGUCUCCAAACAUGGCAACU